GACGAACGCUGGCGGCGUGCUUAACACAUGCAAGUCGAACGGAAAGGCCCUGCUUGCAGGGUACUCGAGUGGCGAACGGGUGAGUAACACGUGGGUGAUCUGCCCUGCACUUCGGGAUAAGCCUGGGAAACUGGGUCUAAUACCGGAUAGGAGCCAUUUUUAGUGUGAUGGUUGGAAAGUUUUUUCGGUGUAGGAUGAGCUCGCGGCCUAUCAGCUUGUUGGUGGGGUAAUGGCCUACCAAGGCGGCGCCGGGUAGCCGGCCUGAGAGGGUGGACAGCCACAUUGGGACUGAGAUACGGCCCAGACUCCUACGGGAGGCAGCAGUGGGGAAUAUUGCACAAUGGGCGCAAGCCUGAUGCAGCGACGCCGCGUGGGGGAUGACGGCCUUCGGGUUGUAAACUCCUUUCGCUAGGGACGAAGCUUUUUGUGACGGUACCUAGAUAAGAAGCACCGGCUAACUACGUG
rnacentral:rRNA from 1 species